UUAAAAGGUAAAUAAAUUUAUUUGAGUAGUAUUAGUUAUAUUCUUGAAACUAAAAAAAUUUGGCGGUAUUUUAGUCUAUUCAGAGGAACUUGUUUUUUAAUCGAUAAUCCACGAUGUACCUUACUUAAAAUUGUUAAUCAAUCUAUAUAUCGUUGUUAUUAGAAUAUUUUAUAAGAAUAAUAAUUUUCUAUAAUUUAUAUUAAAAUUAAUAUCAAAUCAAGGUGUAGUUUAUUUUUAAGAAUAAAUGAGUUACAAUAAAAUAUAUUUAUGAAUUUAAAUAUGAAAAAUUUAAUGAAAUUGGAUUUGAUAGUAAAAUUAUAAAGAUAAAUAA
rnacentral:rRNA from 1 species